GCCAAACCGUAAAUUUAAAUUACACAUAAAACGCCAGGGUACUACGAGCCAAGCUUAAAACCCAAAGGAUUUGACGGUGUUUCAUCCAACUAGAGGAGCCUGUUCUAUAAUCGAUAGUCCACGAUCUACCUAACCAUUUUUUGCUACGCAGCCUGUAUACCUCCGUCGUAAGUUUACCAUUUAAGUGAGCAAAAGUGAGCAAAAGGACUUAGAGCCAAAACGUCAGGUCAAGGUGCAGCUUAUAAAAUGGAAGAAAUGAGCUACAAUUUCUAAUUUAGAACACACGAAUUACUGCAUGAAAAAAGGUCAUGAAGGUGGAUUUAGCAGUAAGUAGGGAAUAGAGAGCCCUACUUAAUAUCGGCCCUGAAACGCGU
rnacentral:rRNA from 1 species